rnacentral:lncRNA from 1 species
GAUAUUGCAAAGAUAGACACUGAAGAUGAGUAGCAUGAUGCCAAGUAGCGCAUAUGGAAAGUGACAAAGGGGGAGCCUGGAGGACAAGAUUAUGUCCACAAAGUUGGUCAAAGGAAGUAAUCGCAAAGACCAUAUGGGAUGAAGGUAAGCGGUGAUAAGAUAGAGAGUCAGAUGACAACUGGCUUAAGAAUAAUGUUUUGGAGAAAAAUUGGGAUGGAC